UACAGAGGUCCCAAGCGUUAUCCGGAAUGAUUGGGCGUAAAGCGUCCGCAGGUGGCUGUGUAAGUCUGCUGUCAAAGAGCGAAGCUCAACUUCGUAAAGGCAGUGGAAACUACACGGCUAGAGUGCGUUCGGGGCAGAGGGAAUUCCUGGUGUAGCGGUGAAAUGCGUAGAGAUCAGGAAGAACACCGGUGGCGAAGGCGCUCUGCUAGGCCGCAACUGACACUGAGGGACGAAAGCUAGGGGAGCGAAUGGG
rnacentral:rRNA from 1 species